ensembl:lncRNA
GUGGGUGUGUGUGGGAGGAUGGGAUGCUUUCUGGUUAAGUCCUGAUCUUGUGUUGUCUUUGAGGAUGAACCCAAGAGGCAAAAGUGCUGCAACACACGCACACAGAGACACAGAGACACACGCACAGGCAGAGACACACACACAGACACAGAGACACAGAAACACACACACACACGCAGGUCAGCAGUUCAGCAGGAUGAGUGUGUCUCUUAUGUGGGUCUAAAUCUCCACAGCUUUAUGGCUCUUUUCUGUGUGAGCUGAAUUCCAAUAAAAAGCGGUUCUGAGGUUCCACUCUGCACUUUAUAUUUAUGAUCUGAGACUCGGAGCUGAUCUCGGAUCAGAAACCACGAUCCGUCUGUCACAUUUCAGACAGUAAAGAAGACAUCCAGUUGAACUUGACCUGAUUAUUGGUGUAGUCUAUUUCUAGAUUAACAUUAGAAUAUAACAUUUCCUUAAUGCAACGAAAACAACUACUAGAUCAUGUGCAGCAUUCAUAAAAUAAAUACAUAAUAAACAAGUCAGUAAAAUAAAAUCUCCCUCUUCCCCUGUUUUGGAGUGUAAGCAGGUUAGUGUGAUCAGGUCGAUUAUUUUCCUCUAACUGCACGUCCCCCGGUGUUCUGCUCCUCUUACUACACAGUAAGUUACCAACAAAUGGCAUUUUUUAUUUAGUAAAGAUUGAUCAUUUAUCUGUUUGUGGUUCUGUUUAACGUCUGUGUAACGAGUUCCUGUUCUCACUUACGUUAUAGCAACUCUAAAGAGUUUUUCCCUCACCAGCCUCUCUUACAAUCUCCUUACAGAAAACUGUAACUAUAGAAACAAUAUCGUAUAAACGUGUGUGUGUGUGUGUGUGUGUGUGUGUGUGUGUGUGUCAUGUAUGCACAUAUAUCUGCAAUAAGCACAGUGUUAUGGCUAUAGAACAUGCAGGGAGUGUAAUAAAAUAUAAUGUAUGCAUGAUGCCCUGUGUGUGCAUGUCUGAGAGUGCGGGUGCCCCUGAGGAUACUGGGAUAGGUGAUGAGAGAUUAGCUUCCAAAAGCACUAGCGUUAAUACCAAUCAAAAUGGCGGUUUUGCCUGAGCGUUGUUUAUACGGCGAAUUCAAUUACGCGAUGGCGAGCGGAGAGACGCAGUGUUACAGCCUGUCAGGGUGACAUUUCAUUUGCAGUGAAUCAUGGGAAAUGGAGCGGACCUUCACUGCCCCGAACGCCCAUUUAUUUAAGUGUGUGUGAUUGUGUAUGUUUGUGAUGCUCAGAGCUGCUCAGAAAUGGUCCUUUCUUUGAAUCCGUCUUUCUUUCUUCACCGUAUCUUCACUGUCUCUGCUUCGCUGUUCAAAUACUAUUUCAAUGGAUAUUUGCAUAUUCAAGUGACAUAAUUACAUAUUCAUAAGGUGCCAUUUAAAGAUUUA